AUAAUAAUAAUAAUAAUAAUAAUAAAUUAAAAAUAAAAUCACAGCAGCAGUAGUAAUUAAU
rnacentral:rRNA from 11 species